AAGAGUCUGGGGUGUUGUAUGUGGGAAAAGCUGUCAGGAGAGAUGAUAGAUUAAGGGAGGUGAUGCUGAAAUUACAGGGUUAAAACAGUAACCAGUAGGGCAUAAUGAAAGGAAAUCUGGAAGACGUUUAAAGUUUUUUUUGCAUUAAUGUGUCAGAGAGCGGAUGUUCUUUAUCCCAGACAUCUAUGUAUUGUUGAGCGAUUAUUGCAAGAAACUCAGAUGCAGAUGCAGAGGAAGAAAUGCACAAACAUCUCUCAAUAGGAUGACCAGGCUUUUAUUUUGCUUAAUUUACCAAUCCUGUGAGGUUUACUGGGUGCAUGUCAGAUUACAACUAGUACUCACAAGCAAAUCAGAUCGCACGUUACUAAGUACUGG